rnacentral:rRNA from 1 species
UAGCAAGUCGACCAAAGGCGAAAGCAGUCAUCAAGGGCACGCCCGUUGAUCAAGAGCGAAAGUUAAGGGUUCGAAGACGAUUUGAUUGAUAUCUGGUCGUUAAGAGCAGUGCUCCUCCAGCCCUUUAAUGUGGGGGGUAAAGGCACAUGCUAGUUGUAGAGAACCAGCCUAGGAUUUGAACUCUACAGCGACACUGUCAAAUUGCGGGGACACCCUAAAGCUAACACUACCAACCACGCGGCUAACAGCCGGAAAAAUGCAGGGCGCUAAAACCUCUUUGAGUGGGGGAGUCGCUGCCGUGGGGCCGGGGUAAUGACCUAGGAUACGGUAAAAACGUGUUAGAUACAUGGGCAAUCCGCAGCCAAGCUCGUUUAAGGCUCUUGCUAGCCCACCCUGCUAGGGUGGCUACCUGUUGGCUACGAGUGCAGUUCACAGACUAAAUGUCAGUGGGUGGCUGAGACACCUCAGCUGCUUAAGAUAUAGUCGGGCCUUAAGGGAAACUUUAAGGGAAUGGGAAGCGUGUCGGUUACUAACCGCACACCUUGCAAAUUGACUGCAAGGCCAUACUGCAGAUACCGUCGUAGUCUUAACUAUAAAUGAUACAAACCAGGGAUGGGACAAUGUCCAUCUCGACUCCUCCUGGACCUUAGAGAAAUUAGAGUCUAUGGGUUCUGGGGGGAGUAUGGUCGCAAGUCUGAAACUUAAAGGAAUUGACGGAAGGGCACACAAAGAGUGGAACCUGCGGCUUAAUUUGACUCAACACGGGAAAACUCACCAGGUCCGGAUACACGCAUGACAGUCAAGCUGAAAGACUUUACUCAAUGAUGUAAGUGGUGGUGCAUGGGA